GACGAACGCUGGCGGCGUGCUUAACACAUGCAAGUCGAACGGAAAGGCCCUGCUUUUGUGGGGUGCUCGAGUGGCGAACGGGUGAGUAACACGUGAGUAACCUGCCCUUGACUUUGGGAUAACUUCAGGAAACUGGGGCUAAUACCGGAUAGGAGCUCCUGCUGCAUGGUGGGGGUUGGAAAGUUUCGGCGGUUGGGGAUGGACUCGCGGCUUAUCAGCUUGUUGGUGGGGUAGUGGCUUACCAAGGCUUUGACGGGUAGCCGGCCUGAGAGGGUGACCGGCCACAUUGGGACUGAGAUACGGCCCAGACUCCUACGGGAGGCAGCAGUGGGGAAUAUUGCACAAUGGGCGGAAGCCUGACGCAGCAACGCCGCGUGCGGGAUGACGGCCUUCGGGUUGUAAACCGCUUUCGCCUGUGACGAAGCGUGAGUGACGGUAAUGGGUAAAGAAGCACCGGCUAACUACGUGCCAGCAGCCGCGGUGAUACGUAGGGUGCGAGCGUUGUCCGGAUUUAUUGGGCGUAAAGGGCUCGUAGGUGGUUGAUCGCGUCGGAAGUGUAAUCUUGGGGCUUAACCCUGAGCGUGCUUUCGAUACGGGUUGACUUGAGGAAGGUAGGGGAGAAUGGAAUUCCUGGUGGAGCGGUGGAAUGCGCAGAUAUCAGGAGGAACACCAGUGGCGAAGGCGGUUCUCUGGGCCUUUCCUGACGCUGAGGAGCGAAAGCGUGGGGAGCGAACAGGCUUAGAUACCCUGGUAGUCCACGCUGUAAACGGUGGGUACUAGGUGUGGGGUCCAUUCCACGGGUUCCGUGCCGUAGCUAACGCUUUAAGUACCCCGCCUGGGGAGUACGGCCGCAAGGCUAAAACUCAAAGGAAUUGACGGGGCCCCGCACAAGCGGCGGAGCAUGCGGAUUAAUUCGAUGCAACGCGUAGAACCUUACCUGGGUUUGACAUGGAUCGGGAGUGCUCAGAGAUGGGUGUGCCUCUUUUGGGGUCGGUUCACAGGUGGUGCAUGGCUGUCGUCAGCUCGUGUCGUGAGAUGUUGGGUUAAGUCCCGCAACGAGCGCAACCCUUGUUCACUGUUGCCAGCACGUUAUGGUGGGGACUCAGUGGAGACCGCCGGGGUCAACUCGGAGGAAGGUGGGGAUGACGUCAAGUCAUCAUGCCCCUUAUGUCCAGGGCUUCACGCAUGCUACAAUGGCUGGUACAGAGAGUGGCGAGCCUGUGAGGGUGAGCGAAUCUCGGAAAGCCGGUCUCAGUUCGGAUUGGGGUCUGCAACUCGACCUCAUGAAGUCGGAGCCGCUAGUAAUCGCAGAUCAGCAACGCUGCGGUGAAUACGUUCCCGGG
rnacentral:rRNA from 1 species